GGGGGGGGGGGGGGGGGGGGGGGGGGGGGGGGGGGAGGGCGGGGGGGGGGGAGGGGGCGUGUCGGGGGGAGGUGCGAGCGGGGGAGUAAGGCGUGGGGAACCUGCCGGGUAGCGGGGGAUAACUAUUGGAAACGAUAGCUAAUACCGCAUCAGCGUAGCUGUUGCAUGAGAUUUGCUUAAAAGGUGCAAUUGCCUCACUACCAGAUGGGCCUGCGUUUUAUUAGCUAGUUGGUGAGGUAACGGCUCACCAAGGCAACGAUCCAUAGCCGACCUGAGAGGGUGAUCGGCCACACUGGGACUGAGACACGGCCCAGACUCCUACGGGAGGCAGCAGUAGGGAAUCUUCGGCAAUAGACGGAAGUCUGACCGAGCAACGCCGCGUGAGUGAAGAAGGUUUUCGGAUCGUAAAGCUCUGUUGUAAGAGAAGAACGAGUGUGAGAGUGGAAAGUUCACACUGUGACGGUAUCUUACCAGAAAGGGACGGCUAACUACGUG
rnacentral:rRNA from 1 species